rnacentral:lncRNA from 1 species
UUGUGGCGCGCCUGGUGCCACAUCUCGGGCUCUGCGAGCGUCCUGGCGCGGGAUCCUGCCGUGAGAAGGAGUUGGGGCGGGGGACCCGGCGGGGCAUUGCGGGAGAAGGCCUGGGAUCCCUGGGAGCCUUGUAGCGUGGGGGAGUUCACUGUGUAGAGAGGUUUCAUGUCUUCAUCUAUAUAGUCACUUAUUUGUCUUAAAGUUCUCGAAAUUCCCUCUUAGAGAAGGAGAAAGUUAGAGAACUGGAGGCUGCGUACCCUGAUUACGCAGAAGGGAAGCAGCCUCGCAUUCCCCGGGGCAGGCCCCCGCCCGCGCGUCCCGCCAGUAGGGGAAUUUAGCGGACGGCUGCGGUUGUCUGGUGAAAGGCUAUCCAAGGAUAAGGGGCUUCACUUUUCCCAAGUAGGGGAAAGAGAAGGGGUCUACAGGGCUAGGGGUGGAGGGAGCGGAUGCAGUGAGCAGCCUCCGCAGAGAAAUUGACAAUUUAACCAGGGACCUGCGGCAGAGACAAGGCGGAGACACUCCCUUGCCCAGGAAAGCCGCCAGAGUCCGGCUUGUACCUGGGGAAGAAUCCUUAAGACGGUCUGGCCCAACACUCCUUUGCUCACAGAGAAAGGGGAGAAGACUCCCGAGGGUGAAAAUGGUACAUUCGGAGCUGGAACUCAGCUCGCUGACCCCAAGCAGUGUUCCCUUCUUUUCGCCAGGUUUGCAUCCAAGAGAGGGGAGGACAGGGGCAAAAGGAUGCAGGGAGGCUGCUGAUUUCCACUGAAGAGCUAAUUUCCUGUGAGACAUUAACAGUGAUUUAAGAAAAAGAUUCCUGUAACUGGUAAAUGAAUUUCAUUUGCUUAACUUUUAGAUGAUAUGUUUCAGGCAAAAAAAAAGUUGUGCACCCACUUAUCUCUUUAAAGCGGAGGAUGAAAAGCAUUGAAUAGGUAGGAUUCUUAAUGUCUGAGAUGAAGGCGAUGUAGGAGGCAAACAAUACGGUUAAAAAUGUUGAGUCGACCCAAACAGAAAGACCAGGUUUCAAUCCAGACUCUGCGGCUUACUGAGAAUAUGAUCUUGAGUAAACUGCUUGACCUUCCUGAGCCUCAGCUUUCUUAGUUGUUAAAUGGACUUUAACAAUACUAAUCUGUUAGGACUGUGGUGAGGAUGAAAUCAGGGAAAUCAGUCACAGCAGUGCUCUCCUGGCACAGUAAUGUCUUACAAUAACAGAAUGCAGGAGAGCACAUAUCAAUGAAGAAAAGACAAAAUGUACUUAUCCAUGAAGCUGAGGUUAAGAAACCAGUGUCUUCAAGAGCCAGGGACAGCACUGGGUCUGUGCAGAGUUGAGAGAUGGUGAUGACAUGUGGUUUCCAGCAUUCCUCACCCAGUCCAGGGACACUGUGGGUGUGCCCAGCUUAAGUCCAGUAACUGGAAAUACAAGCCCAAGUUCUGGAGAGUUUGAGCUGCAGAGAUAUAUAUGGGAACACUUUGAAUCUUGACUCAUUGGCCAUAACCAGCAGAGUGGAAAAUACAAGAAGAGAAAAAAACAUUGAACUGCGAUUUUAUAACAUCCUUUACUAGGCAGAGAGAAGAGGAAACACCAGGAAAGAAAACUGUAUUACGAUGUGAAAACUUAAUGUUGAGAAAUUCAGGCAUCUUGGGGUUAGUGAGGAGAAGUUUUAGGGGCUUAGAUUCUUCUAAACACAUGUACAGAAAUGCAUAUUUCAUCUGAUAUCAAAUGGCAUUUAUAGUGCUAAUCUUUACCUCAAGACUUCACAUCUUUUGGUGAUUGCAUCUUUUAGGUUUAUAGCAGCUAAGUUUGCAUGAAAACACCAGGGCUGUUUCAUUUCAGUCAAGAAUUAAUGUUCAUUGAUUGUGCUUCUGCAUUUCAUGUAACUAUUGUAGAAUUUGUUUUAGUUUUAUGAGGGAAUAAUUGUUCCAACUUCUAUAUAACUCAGGAAUUUACUCUCAAACAACACUGUCAAUUAGUUACUUAUCUCUCUGGAAAUGAUCUGGGAACAUGGAGAGGAAAGGGAGGAAGGGGCAAAAUCUGACCACUUAAAUCUAAGCAUAUUAGAUCAUUUUAUGCUAGAAAGUCCUGAAUGAUGUGACUUUCGUUCUUGUAAAACACCUCUUUCCAUAGAUUCAUGGCCCAAACAGUAUAUAAAGAGUGGGGAAGGAACUGCAUUUGCAAAUAGUUCAAAUCAUUGCUCCAUCUUAACUACGCAGUUCACAAAGUGUGAAGAAAUGUGAUCAUCUCAAAAAAGAUAAUGGGGAAAAAAUAUGUUUUGUUCUGUGACUUUAAAGUCUUGCAAUAUUUUACAUAAAUGAUAAUGGGUGCUUUAAUAAGAACUCUUGAUACUUUUGUUAUUGUAUUCAAUAUAUGCAUAUAAUACAACAGGAUGAUAUUGUUUUGGAUUUGGAAAUGUAUUCUUUCUUAUGCAAUCUUAUGCAGUCAUACUGCUUGAAUAUCAUUACCUGAAUUUAUCUUUCUUUUUUUUGUUGUUGUUUUACACUCUACUUAUUUGGUGCCUGUCAGUCUUUUGUCGUCAGUUUAUAUUCUACUAAACUCAAAAAGACAAUCUCAUACCUUUUGUAAUUGUAGGCAUUCUUUACUAGAUUUUUAAAUACACUUCAAAAAUUCAAGUACUUUGAUUUCAUGCCAUCAAGUAGCUGAAUCUAUCCCCCCGUCUCUUUUUAAAUUUAAGUGAGUAGUUCAAUUUCUGUCACUUUCUACUUUGUGAAUUCUAAAUCUUUUAAAACCAUCUUGCCAUUUUUCGUGCACUUACCCUUACAGAAAACUCUGUGAAACACUACUUAUCUCUACUUUUAUGUUUUUAACUCCUUUUUUAUAUUACUAUUCCCUCUGCUUUCUAAAUGCACAUAUUAAUUUGUUCUUUUUAUUCUCUGUAGCUCUUCUCAGUGUAUGAAUUCAGUUUCCCAUCAGUCUCCAUACAAUUAAAAAAAAGUUGAGUAUUCUGUUAUUUUAAUAAGAUAUCUAGUGCCCAUAUUCUAAUUCUGCCCCUUAUUUUUAAUAUAAUUUUAUUGUUGAUUUAAAAUGACAACAGUUUCAAUUCCCAGAAAGUGAAAGGAAACAAAGGAAUAAUAUUAUAGGCUUAAUUUUUAUCAGUGAACUUGUAGGUGAAGAAAAGAUUUGGGGAAGGAAAUGAACAUAUUAUAUUGCAAAAUAGUAAGGAACAAUCAGAUGUGUUUUCUAGUCUCUGGAAAAGCAUGUUUCAAGAAAUUCAAUGAAAAGUUCAUCAUGCUUGCUUAGAUUGUUGAGAAGCAAAAACACUGAUGAACAUUUGGAAGCAAUGAGAAUGUAAUUCUAAUCAUACUCUUUUAAUAAUGUUGCAAAACUCUCCAAACACUACUCUGUGUGGAUGUCUUUCAGAAUAUGAUGAAUACUAGUAGUCUUAUUCUGCCCUUUUCUCUCUAUCACAAUAUAUACAUUCUAUAUUGCAUACACAUAUUUUCCAAAUAUUACAUAUAAUUUCAUGUAAUUUAUAGACCUAUUAAGGCCCAACCAUUUUCUUGGAUAGGGGAUUCUUUAGAAGUCCAGCUUAAAUAAAGCCCGUAUAGAAAGUUUUUUUAAAAUUUAUACAUAAUCACCUAAAGUAACCUUAUCUACUGAACUCUUAGUACAUGCUACUGGAACCUUUUAUCAUGUUUCUUCCUGGCUUGCAUUACAACACUGUUGACAUAUCUCAGCCUUACUUCUAGGCUUCUUUGAGAGCAUGACUCAUGUUUGUAUUCCUCACUGAGGUUGAAUGAAUAAGAGAAACUACAGUAGUAGGAAAAAACAGUACAUGUACAUAUCAAUGAAUAUGAAAGGGUCAAAUGGAUCUAUUAUAGUAAGCACAAAAUCAACUGACACCAGCAAAGUAAACCCAAAAUUUUUAAUGGUAUUUUAAUAGAUCAAGAGGAGCAAGCAGAUUUUUGAGACAGUUGUCUCCUACUUUCUCUAUCACAGGGAGUAAUUUUAAAAGAAAAAUGGAGGGUAAGUUUCUUUAAGAGAAAAUUGUAGUUUAAAACAGGUCAUGGGAUAAUUAGAAAUAAUUUAAUUUCUUUAGAGGAUUUUAAUCUUUCAACUGCUUGCAAUUAGAUCCUAAGGCAAUAAAAGAAUAAGGAGAUUUGGAAAACCAUUGUCUGUAAUCUCUGAAGAAAAGUGGACAUUAGGGGAGUCAGUUGAAAAGCAAAGCUAUCACCAUUUUCUAAAGAGGAAAAAGGUGAACCUCACAAACUAUAGACCAAAAAAAUAGGACAUCGAGAGAAAGAAUAUGAAGCUAGCAUAGGUUCACAAAGAAUGAGUCAAAUCAAACAACAUGCAUUUUUUAUUUAUAAAGCAUGACUUGUUCAUUGUCAAUUCAUGUUAGCUUAAUCAUUAGGCAUUAAUGCCAUCACUGCAAUGCAUAUGUCAGCAAUAAAUAAUCAAAGACCAGGCUUCCAUCAUUCUGUUUAAUAUCUUCAAGUAAUGCUUAAGUUUGCAAAUGCUCUUUUAACACAUUCUCCAUAUGCAGCCUGCCCAGCACUGCACACAAUAGACCUGUUACUUCCCCCUCACGAGCACUCCUAAUAUUUCAUGUGCUCAUCCAAUUGACUUCUCCCACUGGUGCCUCAUAUUGAAUUUGUAGAAUCACACCUGCUCCUUUUUCAAAACUCUUCUGAGUUUUUUCUUAAAUAAUUCACUGACCCCAAAGUUGUCAGAUAUUUGAAGACUACUCGCACAAUUUUAAUAUUAUAAAUGUAUAAUGUAAAUGUAAUUAAGAUUUGUAUAAUGUACGAUGUACUUUGGUAAAUAAAAGUAUGCUGUGAAUAAAUACGUAUGAUACAAUUCAAAAUUUUACAUAAAUAUGUGAUAAAAUUUAGCUCAUAUUCUUUUUUUUUUUCUUUGAGACGGAGUCUCACUCUGUUGCACCCAGGCUAGAGUGCAGCAGCAUGAUCUCAGCUCACUGCAACCUCUACCUCCUGGGUUCAAACAAUUCUCCUGCCUCAGCCUCCUGAGUAGCUGGGAUUACAGGUGCCCGCCACCAUGCCCAGCUAAUUUUUUUCUAUUUUUGUUGUUGUUGUUGUUUUUAGUAGAGACGGGGUUUCACCAUGUUGGUCAGGCUGGUCUUGAACUCCUGACCUCAGAUAAUCCACCUGCCUCGGCCUCCCAAAGUUCUGGGAUUACAGACGUGAACCACGGUGCCCGGCCUAGUUCAUGUUCUUUAAGGACAAUUAUGAAUAUUUUUAUGCACUGUUAAUUUUCAUUAAGAUAUUGAUCAAUUAAUAGCUAUAUAUGUUCUAUAAAUUAAUCCUAUCUAGUUUCAAUCUUAAAUUGUUUGCAUAUACCAAUCUAGUUUAUUGUUUGCAUAUAUUUUAUAGUGUAGAGAUUAGGCAUUUUAAUAAAAUUUUAAAAUUUCCAGGACAUACUGUUAAUGACUAUGCUUCCUACUAUAGGCCAUAAUUAAUUUUUUUCUAUUGUCAACAAUAUUUUGGUAGGGAUGAUCAGGAAAUAAGGAAAUGUUUCCUUCAUUUGUUAACAAUAGGUGUUUGGGGAUUUUAAAAUGAAAAUUGAAGAAGUAAAAGACACCAUAUAUUUAGUUUGUUUGAUUUCGUGGCUUCAAGAGUUCAAUAAUUUAUUGAAAUAUUUUACAGACCAAAGAACAACAGAUAUAUUACGUUUAUAAGCCCCCACAUAUUUUAAAGGAUAAUGGUUUAUAUAUGAAAAUUCCCUGAACCUACACUUCAUC